AUUGAACGCUGGCGGCAGGCCUAACACAUGCAAGUCGAGCGGAGCGGCGGACGGGUGAGUAAUGCUUAGGAAUCUGCCUGGUAGCGUGGGAUAACGUCCGGAAACGGGCGCUAAUACCGCAUACUAUUACAUGCGCCUAGGUCGGAUUAGCUAGUUGGUGGGGUAAAGGCCUACCGAGGCGACGAUCCCUAGCUGGUCUGAGAGGAUGACCAGCCACACUGGAACUGAGACACGGUCCAGACUCCUACGGGAGGCAGCAGUGGGGAAUAUUGCACAAUGGGCGCAAGCCUGAUGCAGCCAUGCCGCGUGUAUGAAGAAGGCCUUCGGGUUGUAAAGUACUUUCAGCGAGGAGGCGUUACCGACAGAAGAAGCACCGGCUAACUCCGUGCCAGCAGCCGCGGUAAUAC
rnacentral:rRNA from 1 species